CCUUGAGUUUGAUCAUGGCUCAGAACGAACGCUGGCGGCAUGCCUAACACAUGCAAGUCGAACGAGACCUUCGGGUCUAGUGGCGGACGGGUGAGUAACGCGUGGGAACCUGCACUUCAGUGGGGGAUAACGACGGGAAACUGUCGCUAAUACCGCAUACGCCCUACGGGGGAAAGAUUUAUCGCUGAAGGAUGGGCCCGCGUCGGAUUAGCUAGUUGGUGAGGUAACGGCUCACCAAGGCGACGAUCCGUAGCUGGUCUAAGAGGAUGAUCAGCCACACUGGGACUGAGACACGGCCCAGACUCCUACGGGAGGCAGCAGUGGGGAAUAUUGGACAAUGGGGGAAACCCUGAUCCAGCAAUGCCGCGUGAGUGAUGAAGGCCUUAGGGUUGUUUUUUUUUUUCGGUGGUGACGAUGAUGACGGUAACCACAGAAGAAGCCCCGGCUAACUCCGUGCCAGCAGCCGCGGUA
rnacentral:rRNA from 1 species